rnacentral:rRNA from 1 species
CCUACGGGAGGCAGCAGUGGGGAAUCUUGCGCAAUGGCCGCAAGGCUGACGCAGCGACGCCGCGUGUGGGAUGACGGCCUUCGGGUUGUAAACCACUGUCGGGGGGGACGAAUACUCGGCUUCGAACAGGAGACCGAGGGUGACGGUACCCCCAAAGGAAGCACCGGCUAACUCCGUGCCAGCAGCCGCGGUAAUACGGAGGGUGCGAGCGUUGUCCGGAAUCACUGGGCGUAAAGGGCGCAUAGGCGGCUGGCUAAGUCACUGGUGAAAUCCUGGGGCUAAACUCCAGGGCUGCAGGUGAGACUGGCUGGCUAGAGCUCGGUAGAGGCGAGUGGAAUUCCCGGUGUAGCGGUGGAAUGCGUAGAUAUCGGGAGGAACACCGGUGGCGAGGGCGGCUCGCUGGGCCGAUGCUGACGCUGAGGCGCGAAAGCGUGGGGAGCAAACAGGAU